rnacentral:tRNA from 1 species
UGGCUGAGUGGUAAAGCGCUUGGCUUCCGAACUGGGGGUCCCGGGUUCGAAUCCUGG